rnacentral:rRNA from 1 species
GCCAGCCCGCUCAGAAACUUAAAGGAAGUUGACGGGGCCCGCACAAGCGGUGGAGUAUGUGGUUAAUUCGAUGCAACGCGAAGAACCUUACCUGGUCUUGACAUCCCGGAGACCCUUAGGAAACUAGGGGGUGCUUCCAUCUGGAAGAAUCUGGAGACAGGUGCUGCAUGGCUGUCGUCAGCUCGUGUCGUGAGAUGUUGGGUUAAGUCCCGCAACGAGCGCAACCCUUGCCUUUAGUUGCCAGCAGUUCGGCUGGGCACUCUAAAGGGACUGCCGGUGUUAAACCGGAGGAAGGUGGGGAUGACGUCAAGUCCUCAUGGCCUUUAUGACCAGGGCUACACACGUACUACAAUGGCCGAUACAAAGGGCAGCGACACUGCGAGGUGAAGCCAAUCCCGUAAAAUCGGUCUCAGUCCGGAUUGGAGUCUGCAACUCGACUCCAUGAAGUUGGAAUCGCUAGUAAUCGUGGAUCAGCAUGCCACGGUGAAUACGUUCCCGGGCCUU